UGGCAGUGGCGGGUCUAUAAUGCAGUCGAGCGGACAGAUGGGAGCUUGCUCCCUGAUGUUAGCGGCGGACGGGUGAGUAACACGUGGGUAACCUGCCUGUAAGACUGGGAUAACUCCGGGAAACCGGGGCUAAUACCGGAUGGUUGUCUGAACCGCAUGGUUCAGACAUAAAAGGUGGCUUCGGCUACCACUUACAGAUGGACCCGCGGCGCAUUAGCUAGUUGGUGAGGUAACGGCUCACCAAGGCGACGAUGCGUAGCCGACCUGAGAGGGUGAUCGGCCACACUGGGACUGAGACACGGCCCAGACUCCUACGGGAGGCAGCAGUAGGGAAUCUUCCGCAAUGGACGAAAGUCUGACGGAGCAACGCCGCGUGAGUGAUGAAGGUUUUCGGAUCGUAAAGCUCUGUUGUUAGGGAAGAACAAGUGCCGUUCAAAUAGGGCGGCACCUUGACGGUACCUAACCAGAAAGCCACGGCUAACUACGUGCCAGCAGCCGCGGUAAUACGUAGGUGGCAAGCGUUGUCCGGAAUUAUUGGGCGUAAAGGGCUCGCAGGCGGUUUCUUAAGUCUGAUGUGAAAGCCCCCGGCUCAACCGGGGAGGGUCAUUGGAAACUGGGGAACUUGAGUGCAGAAGAGGAGAGUGGAAUUCCACGUGUAGCGGUGAAAUGCGUAGAGAUGUGGAGGAACACCAGUGGCGAAGGCGACUCUCUGGUCUGUAACUGACGCUGAGGAGCGAAAGCGUGGGGAGCGAACAGGAUUAGAUACCCUGGUAGUCCACGCCGUAAACGAUGAGUGCUAA
rnacentral:rRNA from 1 species